CAUUGUUUCACUACAUAAAUGUCAACAAAGUGAAAUUCAGUAAUAAAAAUAAAAAAUGUAAAUGUCAACAAAGUGAAAUUCAGUAAUAAAAAUAAAAAAGAAGUGGAAAAGGUCUUUAAAACAGAAAUUAACAAAUAACUUUAGGACCAGUAACAUCGUUCAGCUGGUGAUUUCAUCACAGUGCUGACGCUUUUUGGAUACAAAUUUCUGCACGCCAGUGGAUAAUUAAAAGUCGUACAGCCAGAACUGGAUAUCGAUUUAAAAGUAAUUGCUACUAGCCACUGGAGUUGUGGUUAGGGAUUCGUGCAGCGAUGGACGACGAGUUCAAGCUCUGUUGGAAGAAUUUCCAGGACAAUACAGCUAGUGGAUCUCAAAACUUGUAUGAUCGUGGAGACUUAGUUGAUGUUACACUUGCCUGCGAUGGAAAAUUGCUGCACGCACACAAAAUUCUACUUGCUAUUUGCAGUCCAUAUUUUCAAGAAAUUUUUAUAACCAAUCACUGCAAGCAUCCAAUAAGCACACAUAAAUAACAGGUGUAAGCUGAACUUCCCGAUUUCGAAAUACUCUGCUAUCAUGUGGCGAAAGCUCCUCUACCUAAGGCCAUCAACAAUACUGAUCGAUUCCACAACAUUGAAAUAUGCCGAAAAUAAGCGACGAAUAGACACAAACAUUGGAUGCGUUUUCACUUCAUUUAGGAAAUAAGUUUGAUUGUAUUUGAAAGCUUAAAUG